rnacentral:lncRNA from 1 species
GAGAACCCUGACCUCAAUUCCUUUCUCUUCCGUUCCUAAUUCUGAGAGAAUACAGAAUUUGGAAUUAUAAGACAUAGAUUUGGAUCCUGGGCCUUAGAGACCUAUAAAGUGCCUAUAACACAAGGUACUUUGGGAUAACUCUACGUAUCAGAAAGGAUUAUGGCAUGAUAGAUUUAGAGCAUAAAGAACCCUGUAUUUCAUCUAGUUCAACUCCCUCAUUUUACAGAUCGAGAAAUUGAGACCCAGAGAGAAGAAAUAACUUAACCAAGGUUACCCAAAAGGAUUCACUGGAUCCACCAGAGAAGGGAAUGGCAGACUGAUUCAGUAUCCAUGCCAAGAAAACCCCAAGGACAGCUAUGGUCCUGAAGAGUCAGACAUGACUGAACACAACAGAUGGGGAAACUGAGGCUGAGAGGUCAAGCAUCAAGGAUUCAAACAAAGAUCGUCUGACUCCAGACCUUUGGGCUUACACAGAAGUGGCAUUUACAGUAAGACCAACCUCCAGAAGCUACAUCAGCUUCCCCAUGCAUGCUGUUAGCUUCUCUCUGCUCCC